rnacentral:lncRNA from 1 species
GCAUGGCAGCGUCCAGGCAGGCACGGUGCUGGAGAAGGAAUGCAGAACAAAUGAAAGCCUUUUGGAAAUUAUCUGGGAUUUCGGAGAAGUCAGACAGUGGAGGUUCUGGAUCCCUCAGAGCAAAAUUUGAUCUUUCAGAAGGUCCCAGCAAGCCUGCCACACUCGCGGUGCAAUUCCUUAGUGAGGGAAAUACCCUCUCAGGAGUAGACAUCGAGCUUGUUGGUACUGGCUAUAGACUUUCUUUAGUAAAGAAGCGUUUUGCCACUGGACGAUACUUGGCAGAUUGUUGAUGGAACCAGAAUGCGGUUUUCUCAGGGGACUAGUGGGCACCCGCCACUCUGCGUCACCUGUUCCUCCCAAACACUAUUUCUACUUGUAUGAUGUCUUUCAAAUUCGCUCUUUGAAAGCUGACUACAAACAUUAAAUUGCACUUUCAAAGUAUUGUUGAAAGAAAUAGCACUGAAAUGACCUUGUAUACAGUAAAUGAUCAAAUGUGAUAUUCUGGAAGCAUGUGCAUUCAAAUUGUCACUAAAAUUGACGCUUGUUAUCUUCAGUGUCUGUGUUCUUAAAAAGGUUAGAAUGUAGUAACAAGCCUAAAAUUUCAGGAGAGCAAGCACAAUGUUAUUUAGCUUUCCAUAAGUGUUUAGACUCAGAGUUAACCUUUGAAGUUUCCUAAGUUUGAAUAAAUAUAACAAGAACAUGAAUUUUUAGGCUUUGAAUGUUAAAUCAGAACUCAAUCUAAUUGAGUUACGUGCCAUAAGGUAAUCAGACCAGAGUCCAAGUUGUAUGCAAACAAAAACAUCCCUAUAAUCUGAUUCUCCGAAGCACAUUGAUAAAGUGUAAAUGGUGUUUUAUAUAACUUUUUGAAAUUCUCAAGUGCAAUGUGUUUUAAAAUAAGCUUGCAAAGGACAGCAGAAAAACUUACUUCUGCAGUUAAUUAACUUUAUAGAAGUUGUGAUUGUUUUGAUGAAUUAAUGCUGUAGAUUUAAUUUAUUUUUGUAUGGAUUACAUAAUGUGUGCCUUUUUAAAACAAUAACAAAAACCAGAAAUGUGCCUCUCUAGUUUGUGUUAAUUAAUGUGCCUCACUCCGGAUCUUCUCUUCAGAUUCAUACCGUGCUCAAGCAUAUUUAAAAGAUAUUUGCAACUUAAAAAAUACUUCUGGCUUGUAAUUGAGAAGAAAAUUCAAAAUAACUAAAAGAUAAUUUAUACUUAAAAAUCCUGUCUCAUUUCUUUAGUGAUACACCGUAGCCACUAGAAAAACAAAUCAGCCUAGUGGAGUAUGUUUACUGGGAAUAAAAUUACCUUCAGAUAUUCAACAUUGACCUCAUUAUAAGUGUGUGACACAGACAAGCUCUGAAACUAUGGUGGUAAAUCCGUAACUGGUAUUUUAACUAUAAUUUAGCAUUUCCCUUACCCUAUUUAUCAAAAAAAAAAAUUUACACAUUAUUGUGUUGUGAACACAAGUUUUCUAGCCUUUUAAGAAUUUUUUUUUUUUUUUGAGGAUUCAUUUAGCAAUGAAAGAAGUACUAUCAGUUGUUUUAUUUUAACAACUAGGAGAUGGUCAGAUUCCCACAUGGUGAGGUGGGCGAUGUAUGACGUGAAGGACGGGGAAGAGCCUCUUAAAUGAGCUGCUCAUGCCGCGCAGCAGCUUGACGUCAACCCCACUAACAAGAGUGUGUUCUAGACAGGGCCUCAUAAUUCACAGACAGGAGUUUAUGAUAAAUACCAGUGUCCUUUUUUUUUUCCAUAGAAGUGAUAGCUUGUGUUAUAUCUGGUAAUUUAUGUAAACCACUAAUUUUGUUAAGCAUUAGAGAAAAUAAAAUCCCUAUUUCUAGACAUUAAUAUAACACCUUGCUAUAUUAAACAGCAGAAAUCUGUUCUUUUUCACAGUAUGUAAUACAAAUGAGCAUUUUUUAUUCAGUAUUAUUCCUUUUCUAAAUUUAGGUUUGACUUAGGUAAAGAUAAGAAAAUUCAGCCUUUACUAACUAUCAAAAUGAGAGUUUCUAACUCUUACAAUCUUUAAAAUGCCAGUUUCAAUUACACUUACUAAAAUAUUGACUAAAUCUGCUUUUAUUGGGCAGUUAAUGCUUUACUAUUUGAAAUCUGACACUGUCUGUUGUUAAUCAAGUAUUACCUUAAAAUGUUGAAGUGAGUGGAAUGGUUGGUUAACCUUGUGCACUUUCCUAAUCCCCACAGCCUUCAUACUGAGUGUCGACAUGCAAGUUUAUAUUGGGUACAGGUUACAGUUUUAAAGCCAUAUGAGUUUAUAGUGAUUCUUUUUUCCAUUUAAAAAUUCACUAAUGUUUAAAAAGACCCAGUAGAGUCAGUGGGAGACUAUCUUAUCUAGCAAGCUGGUUCUUGCUUGUGUACAGUGAUAACUUUGUAGCUGCUUCUUUAACAAGAAUUUGUAAACACAGAACUCUUAGCACAGUGAGCGUUCAAGGGUCGUCAUUUACUACUUUGGGUUGUAAUUAGAGCACAUCUGUCUUCCAAAAUUUUGUAAAUACUUUUGAUUUUUUCAUAAAAUGUAAAUUUUACAUGAAAGUUGUAUUCCUAAUAAACGUGUAAUAUAUAAUUUAGCAAUG